CCAUGAGCGUACCUGCCCCUGGGGCUGUGUGAAGAACAGAUGGGACCAUGUGGUACAGCUGCUAGCACAGUGAGCAGUCAAUCACGGCUGUUGUUGCUAUCACCAUUGUCAUUAGCAGUAGCAAUGAUGGUGGUGCUCUAGCCCCAUCGGCACCGAUCCCUGACCCCCAUUCUGGGGGUAAGCCUUACUUGAGGAAUGUAAAAGGCUUAAAAGGGACAGACUUAAAAAAAAAAAUAGUUUCCUUUACUGAAAAGCAAAAAGCAGAAGCCUUAAGUUGCAUUUUAUUUACUGAGGUUUUAAAAAAAAUUGUGGCAAAAGAUAAAUAAAAUUUACCAUUUUAAUCAUUUGAAGUGUAUAAUUCAGUGGCAUUAAGUAAAUCUGUAAAGCUCUACGACCAUCACCACCAUCCAUUUCCAGACAUUUUUGUCAUCCCAAAGAGAAAUUCUGUACACAUUAAACAGUAACUCCCCACCACUCCCAACCUGAGGAGCAGUGUGGGACAGGACACCAUGCAAGGUGAAGACCCUCCCCAGCAUCCUGCGUUUUGCAAGGACCUAGUGCCUGCUCAGCUGUCACCCGUCAGGCAGAACACCGAAACUCAGCCACAAGCUGCUGCUGCCAUCCCCAGCAUAUAACGAAGGAAAAAUUAAGCAAGUGUGUGCUUCUUUAGCCUCCUCUCUUAAUACUGCAUCUUCAGAAUUAAAACUGUGGUGGGCCAGGCUCCUUUUGGUGGCCACGUAUUACCUCUGACCAUCACCUGCUGCUCAAACCCACACUCACGCCACUGCAUGAUCCCUUCCACCCCAGGGCCCUUGCACACGAUGAGCCCCUGGCCUGCAAUGCCCUUCCUUCACUUCCUUCAUCGUCACCUUCUCAGUAAAGCCCUCCCUGCCUCUUUUGUAAAUUUCUUCCCAUCCUCUAUACCCUUCCCACCUCUCUCCCCAUCUUUAGCUUUUCCCUGUAUCACUUAUUCAACACAGCAUAGAUUUUGUUGAAGGCAGGGGUUUCUGCCUUCUGUUUAAUGCUAGCUGCCCAGUGCCUAGAAAAGUGCCUGGCAUCCAGUAGGUGUUCAAUAGAUAUUUAUAGAGUUAAAUGCACUAAACUUAGGAGGCGGAAGUUGUUUUUUUUGGAGGCCUUUGCCCAUUUCACUCCCUCCUUCCCGUUCCACCUUCUAGGUUUCUCAUUCCCUCUGCUUCUUCUCUUUUGCUGGCUCUGGCCUGCAGCCCUCUUGCCCCUGGUGUAAAGGGCUCAAAACGCCAGACAGCUCUGCCGCCAUGGGGAGGAGACCCUGACUGAGAAGCCAGGGCCCCGGCCUCCAGGGUCACCAGUACCUUGGGCAGGCCGGGGUGUCGCUGGGGCUUGGGUGACUCCACCAGGCAUGGAGGGGGUGGGUACUCCCAGCUGGCUCGCCAACCUUCGCUUCUUGCCUCGCAAAGGCAACCUGGCGGAGGGUCUGUGGGUCAAGCAGAGUCCAGCUCUAGUUUCUCCCCUUCCAGGCUGUGCGCCCUCAGCCAGGCCUCUCCUCGCCUACAGGGCUCGCGGACACUUCUGACCCUCACUGAGGUCGUAAAGAUUACAAGUCAGUGGUCCACAACGACUGGCGUCGGGCCCGCCGCAUACCCACUAUGUACGACUGGCCGCUAAGUCAGCCGAGGCCCUGGGGCUCCGCUCCACAACCCAGCCCACGGUCAGCUUUCCUGGGCUGCUCCGUCCCGCGAGGCCAUCGCCCCAUUCAUAUUCGGCAGGGCAUUUCCACGCGUCCCGUCUCAGGCAAGCCCCAGAGCACCCUUUUUCGGGCAACACUGUGCCCACUUCACUGGAGAGGGAACUGAGGUCCACGUCAUUGGGAGAGGAACACGUGACAUAUUGAGCUCUUUCCUCAGCAAGUGACCUAACCCGCCUUGCCCUCGGCCGUGAGCAGAGGGCCAGACCGGAAGUCCGCUAGCUCUGCUGUUCCGAGGCCCGCCAGUCUCCAAACCCCGGUCUUAGAUCGAGGUCUCUGGCCGUUUCCCUCCGCAGCAAAACCCUUGUUCCAGGACUACACCAGACGGGUCACACGACCUAGAUCGGCACGGUCACAUGUCCCGCAGUCCGGUCAUGUGCACCCUCG
rnacentral:lncRNA from 1 species